rnacentral:rRNA from 1 species
UACGAAGGGGGCUAGCGUUGCUCGGAAUUACUGGGCGUAAAGGGAGCGUAGGCGGACAUUUAAGUCAGGGGUGAAAUCCCGGAGCUCAACUCCGGAACUGCCUUUGAUACUGGGUGUCUUGAGUGUGAGAGAGGUAUGUGGAACUCCGAGUGUAGAGGUGAAAUUCGUAGAUAUUCGGAAGAACACCAGUGGCGAAGGCGACAUACUGGCUCAUUACUGACGCUGGGGCUCGAAAGCGUGGGGAGCAAACAGG